rnacentral:rRNA from 1 species
GACAGAGGAUGCAAGCGUUAUCCGGAAUGAUUGGGCGUAAAGCGUCUGUAGGUGGCUUUUUAAGUCUGCCGUCAAAUCCCAGGGCUUAACCCUGGACAGGCGGUGGAAACUACCAAGCUGGAGUACGGUAGGGGCAGGAGGGAAUUUCCGGUGGAGCGGUGAAAUGCGUAGAUAUCGUAAGGAAGACCAGUGGCGAAGGCGGGUCUCUGGACAGUUCCUGACGCUGAGGCACGAAGGUCAGGGGAGCAAACGGGGAUAGA